CAGAAAUAAAUGCCCAGGGCAAUACAGUACAGGAGUGCAUCAAUAGCCUCAGACGUGAACACAACGAUGGCCCUGUUCCACUGAUGUUUUCAAAAUCAGUUCAUCAGUUUCAUGAGGUCAUACUUGGUGGUUUGGUAAUCAAAACAACAGAUGGAGACAAUUGUGUGAAAAUACAGAACUGUGUUGCUAUUGUUGUGAACAUUAUUUUAAGUGGAGGAAAGACAUUUUUGGUAUACAAGGAGUAUAGACAUAGAAGCUCUUUUUUUGAUUAUCCAAUGAAUUCAUGUGACUUGGGAAUUUUUGUUGUGAGGGAACUCUCUGAAGACUUGCACAUCUCAGAGUUUGAUGGCAAUAUUGAGAAGUAUGUUAGGUUGCCUCUCCGAGACGGUUUUGUUGUUUUACCAUUACUACACACUGCACAGACUGCAGAAGAUUAAAUGUGGAGUAUGUGGUGAUAAACCGGUAGAAACUCUGAUGUUGGUGCAGUGGAGUUUGGAGGACAUUUUCAAGAAAAAAGCAUGUAAACAUAUUGUUUCAUUUGUGGAGACUAAUGAGGUGGAAGUGGUGCCUAGUAGCUGGGUACAUGAUGAGCAGUGCGUCUGGCCAAAUCUGAAAGGAGAGAGCCUCACGAAGGCAGUGAAACUGGCAAUGAAACCCAGAAAAGACUGGAAAAAAUUUAGAGUUAAGCUUCUCUACA